rnacentral:lncRNA from 13 species
UCAAACCUGAGUCACUGUGUCUGAAGGGCACUGGGUUCCCCAGGCUGAUGCCUUAUGUCUUGCAAACGAGCAGCACAUCAGCUGAUAAGGUGACUGGGCCAUUGUGAAAAUCAUACAGUAGUUCCUACAAUGCUGGAAAAACAGCCGUUAAACCACAACUUAUUUUUCCCUUGGUGUUUGGUUUUGGCAAUGCAUUCUUUUCAAAUGAGAACUAUGCCAAACAUUUUGUAUGAACACUUCGAGUCAGCAAGUAUGUGAAUGACCUCUCUAUGACAUGCCAGGAGACAGGAGAGGAAGAGUUGUGGCCGAAGCAUGCUGGGCUCAGAACUCUUGCUCUGCAGGAAUGAGACAGCUCAGAGCAGCAUCUGGAAGCUGGCCAUGGACAGAACAACUCACAGGGCACAGCAAGGUGUCACAGCUCUUCUAGGAUCACUGGCCAGGCCACCUCAGACAGAUCUCUAUGAUUUUCAGAAAAGUGUGCAGACUUUAGGUGAAUGCUUCAUUGUUUGGGGAUCCGGAACUGAAUUCUCCUCCAGGACUAGCUAUGAAAUCACUGGAGGACAACAGGAGAGAGCUCAUGGGGUGCUGUGUGUGUUGGUUAAAAAUGGACAGAUGUGCAUGCCAUCCUGGGCACGUGUCCAUUCUACAUGGGAAUGGUCAUGGGAUGAACGCAGCAGUCUGGCACUAGAGACAGACCUGGCACCAGGAUUUCCUGAGGAAGAAGUCCCCCUCUUGAUGAACAAUGUUAAGUCCUGUGCAGCAUCUCGUCCUCUGCAUCUGCAUCAUCUCAGUGGCUUCCAGGUACUCGCUGAAACUUACAUCCAAUCUGUUUUCCUGUAUUAUGCAUUUGCAAUUGUUUCUGUGUCAAUCAUCCUCCAACCAAACUCUCCCCUCUUAAAACUGCAUACUACAGCUCUAGCCAAAAAGACUUUUAUCAGCACAAGUUUGAACGAGCUAAUAUGUGCAGAUCCUGAGUGGUUAUUUUUGUUUCCAAGUCUGGACAUAGAAUCACUUGUUUGAUUUCCUGCUGGGUUAUAUCAAGUGGUUUAACAUGUAAAUCUCUGAUAAGGAAACUGACUAAUUUAUGUAGGUUGCCCAUCUGAACUGCUGUCAGGAUUGCCUUAAUUUUUUCUGCUUCCUUUACUUCUUUACUUUUUCUCAGUCAUCAUUAUUACCAUUACCAGGACUAUCAAGUACAACCUUAUUCAGUUUACGUUUAGAAAACAUUCUUACUAAAAUUAAAAAAAUAUAUAUCUGCAUUCCUGAAGUGUGUGUGGGAGUUCUGUUGGUUUGGAUGUCUGUUUUUUACAACCCAGAUUCAAAAUAAAUAUGCCUCUCAGACUCCA